GUGCUUUUUCCCCGCAUGCAUUCAGUUUUGUUUGUCUCCUCCCUGAGCUGACUGCUUGCUAUUAAUACCCACUCACCAGGAUUUUCACAGGCUAACACUCAGAAUUUUUUUGUAACCUAUUUCCUCCUCACUCCUCGAGCUCUGGCCUCUCCCUCAGGAAAGGAUGACGCUGAGGACAGAAUUUGCAACUGCAGAGCCCAGAGAAGAAGUGAGAGCAAAGGGAACCAGGACCAGAACCAUGCUGGGGAUUGGUACAAAAAGAGUGAAGAAUGCUGUGUCCAAUGAGGCAGAGGAGAAAUACCUACAGAACAAGAAUUGUGCUGCAAGUACCUUUUGUGAAAUGGUCCAUGGGUUAUUUGAUCAUGUACAUUUUAGCUUUAUACCUCAACAGACACAUGUUGGUUUUUGA
rnacentral:lncRNA from 1 species